AAAAUCUUUACAAGUAUGUAUAUAUGGUUAUAAGUGCAUGAUAUGCCUCUGAAGCAACUACACAAGAACCUUCGAAGGAACAACGACCGUCUCCAUCGAGGAGAUUCAUGGAUGAGGUGUUCCCAGUGGCUCAUAGCAAUGUGCUGGAACUUCUCAGGAAACCUGGACUUCCACAAAGGCCCCCUUGUCCAUGGGUGAUUUUCUAAGACAGUUUUCCAGGAGUUCCUGGACAACAGCUGAAGGGCAAGAACUGUUCAUAAAUCACUGCAGAGUCCACAACUAGGAUAUCCACAAUGUUUGUCUGCCUGUGGGCCAAUGCCCAUGUUCCUUGGCACAUGAUGCUGGAUUCCAUGGCUCCCACAAAGGGACUGUGACUGUGGACGGAUGCUGAAUUCUUGCUGUUGAAAUGAGGACCAAAAAGAAGAAAUGUCUUCUCCUGCCAUGAUGCUGAUGUCACUCUGAGUCCAGGAGUUUCACUGGGGGCUGGUCACAUUGGCACUUUUUCCCUACACAACAAGCCAUGAUUUCCAAAGUUCCAGACUCCCAGAAGAAAAGCAGGUAUUUACUAUGAAUCACAUUGUUUGCACAAACAAUUUCGAUAAGCUGGUACAGCAGGGUUUAGUGCCCAAGGCAUGCAAAACAGUCUUAUGAUUUAGUAACAGGGAAAAUUCCAAAGUCAAGUUUCCAUAUGCCACCCUUACAAGCAAGUUCUUCAAAGGGCAACAUCAGAGCUGCUAUAUUAACUCCUUCCUACACAGGCACACUGGCACUGUUACUACACCCAGCAGAGGUAUUUCCUUUCCUUAGCUACAGUUGAAUCUGGUUGGGAUUUUAUUUCCACAACUUCCAGAAAUAGCCUCAUUACUCUGCCGAGAAACCAGGCACCAGCCCACUAUCUCCAUCUCUUCAGAUGUCUGAGUUUCACUUCUACAAAUCUCUUCCUUAGAGCUUUUA